rnacentral:rRNA from 1 species
AGUGAACGCUGGCGGCAGGCCUAACACAUGCAAGUCGAACGGCAGCACAGUAAGAGCUUGCUCUUACGGGUGGCGAGUGGCGGACGGGUGAGGAAUACAUCGGAAUCUACUUUUUCGUGGGGGAUAACGUAGGGAAACUUACGCUAAUACCGCAUACGACCUACGGGUGAAAGCAGUGGAUCUUCGCACCUUGCGCGAUUGAAUGAGCCGAUGUCGGACUAGCUAGUUGGCGGGGUAAAGGCCCACCAAGUCGACGAUCCGUAGCUGGUCUGAGAGGAUGAUCAGCCACACUGGAACUGAGACACGGUCCAGACUCCUACGGGAGGCAGCAGUGGGGAAUAUUGGACAAUGGGCGCAAGCCUGAUCCAGCCAUACCGCGUGGGUGAAGAAGGCCUUCGGGUUGUAAAGCCCUUUUGUUGGGAAAGAAAAGCAGCAGGUUAAUACCCCGCUGUUCUGACGGUACCCAAAGAAUAAGCACCGGCUAACUUCGUG